rnacentral:rRNA from 1 species
GACAGAGGGUGCAAACGUUGUUCGGAAUUACUGGGCGUAAAGCGCGUGUAGGCGGCUAUGUAAGUCGGGCGUGAAAUCCCACGGCUCAACUGUGGAAGAGCACUCGAAACUGCGUAGCUAGAGUCCUGGAGAGGAAGGUGGAAUACUUGGUGUAGAGGUGAAAUUCGUAGAUAUCAAGUGGAACACCAGUGGCGAAGGCGGCCUUCUGGACAGUGACUGACGCUGAGAUGCGAAAGCGUGGGGAGCAAACAGG